rnacentral:rRNA from 1 species
ACGCUCGACACCUACGGGAGGCGGCAGUGGGGAAGUAAUUGCACAAUGGGGGAAACCCGUGAUGCAGCGACGCCGCGUGAGCGAAGAAGUAUUUCGGUAUGUAAAGCUCUAUCAGCAGGGAAGAAACUGACGGUACCUGACUAAGAAGCACCGGCUAAAUACGUGCCAGUAGCCGCGGUAAUCUGAGCGGGCUGGCAAGGC